GAUGAAGAACGUAGCGAAAUGCGAUACUUGGUGUGAAUUGCAGAAUCCCGUGAACCAUCGAGUCUUUGAACGCAAGUUGCGCCCGAAGCCAUUAGGCCGAGGGCACGCCUGCCUGGGCGUCACACGUCGUUGCCCCCCCAUCUACUCCUUCGGGAUUGCGGGGGGCGGAUGAUGGCCUCCCGUGCGCCUCGUCGCGCGGUUGGCAUAAAUGCCAAGUCCUCGGCGACGCACGCCACGACAAUCGGUGGUUGCGAAACCUCGGUUGCCCGUCGUGGGCGGUCGUCGCGCAUCGAGGGCUCGAAAAAAUUGCCGGGCUCCGGCUCGGCUUUCAACGCGACCCCAGGUCAGGCGGGGUUACCCGCUGAAUUUAAGCAUAUCAAUAAGCGGAGGA
rnacentral:misc_RNA from 1 species